rnacentral:rRNA from 1 species
ACUCCUACGGGAGGCAGCAGUGGGGAAUAUUGCACAAUGGGCGCAAGCCUGAUGCAGCCAUGCCGCGUGUAUGAAGAAGGCCUUCGGUUGUAAAGUACUUCUAGCAGUGAGGAAGGUGGUGUCGUUAAUAGCGGCAUCAUUUGACGUUAGCUGCAGAAGAAGCACCGGCUAACUCCGUGCCAGCAGCCGCGGUAAUACGGAGGGUGCGAGCGUUAAUCGGAAUUACUGGGCGUAAAGCGCAUGCAGGUGGUUUGUUAAGUCAGAUGUGAAAGCCCGGGGCUCAACCUCGGAAUUGCAUUUGAAACUGGCAGACUAGAGUACUGUAGAGGGGGUAGAAUUUCAGGUGUAGCGGUGAAAUGCGUAGAGAUCUGAAGGAAUACCGGUGCGAAGGCGGCCCCCUGGACAGAUACUGACACUCAGAUGCGAAGCGUGGGGAGCAAACAGGAUUAGAUACCCUGGUAGACUGUCA